rnacentral:rRNA from 1 species
ACGCUCGACACCUACGGGGCAGCAGUCGGGAAUAUUGCGCAAUGGAGGAAACUCUGACGCAGUGACGCCGCGUAUAGGAAGAAGGUUUUCGGAUUGUAAACUAUUGUCGUUAGGGAAGAGAAAGGACAGUACCUAAGGAGGAAGCUCCGGCUAACUACGUGCUAGCAGCCGCGGUAAUCUGAGCGGGCUGGCAAGGC